UACGGGGGGGGCAAGCGUUGUUCGGAAUUACUGGGCGUAAAGGGCUCGUAGGUGGCCAACUAAGUCAGACGUGAAAUCCCUCAGCUUAACUGGGGAACUGCGUCUGAUACUGGAUGGCUUGAGUUUGGGAGAGGGAUGCGGAAUUCCAGGUGUAGCGGUGAAAUGCGUAGAUAUCUGGAGGAACACCGGUGGCGAAGGCGGCAUCCUGGACCAACACUGACACUGAUGAGCGAAAGCGUGGGUAGCAAACAGG
rnacentral:rRNA from 1 species